rnacentral:rRNA from 1 species
GACAGAGGGGGCAAGCGUUGCUCGGAAUUACUGGGCGUAAAGGGCGCGUAGGCGGGAUGGCAAGUCGGUCGUGAAAUCCCUCGGCUCAACCGAGGAACGUCGAUCGAUACUGCUGUUCUUGAGGAUUGCAGAGGAGACUGGAAUUCCCGGUGUAGCGGUGAAAUGUGUAGAGAUCGGGAGGAACACCGGUGGCGAAGGCGGGUCUCUGGGCAACUACUGACGCUGAGGAGCGAAAGCGUGGGGAGCGAACAGG